rnacentral:rRNA from 1 species
GACGAACGCUGGCGGCGUGCUUAACACAUGCAAGUCGAACGGUGAAGGGAUCAGCUUGCUGGUUCUGGAUGAGUGUCGAACGGUUGAGUAACACGUGAGUAACCUCCCCCCUUCUUCUGGAUAACCGCAUGAAAGUGUGGCUAAUACGGGAUAUUCUGCGCCUGCUGCAUGGUGGGUGUGGGAAAGAUCUUGUUUCGGUGGGGGAUGGGCUCGCGGCCUAUCAGCUUGUUGGUGGGGUGAUGGCCUACCAAGGCGGUGACGGGUAGCCGGCCUGAGAGGGUGGACGGUCACACUGGGACUGAGACACGGCCCAGACUCCUACGGGAGGCAGCAGUGGGGAAUAUUGCACAAUGGGCGCAAGCCUGAUGCAGCGACGCCGCGUGAGGGAUGGAGGCCUUCGGGUUGUGAACCGCUUUCGCCAGUGAAGCAGGCCUGUCACUUGUGGGUGGGUUGACGGUAGCUGGAUAAGAAGCGCCGGCUAAAUACGUG